rnacentral:rRNA from 1 species
AUUGAACGCUGGCGGCAGGCCUAACACAUGCAAGUCGAACGAGUGGCGGACGGGUGAGUAAUUCCUGGGAAACUGCCUGAUGGAGGGGUAUAACUAAUGGAAACGUUAGCUAAUACCGCAUACGAUCAGAUGUGCUCUGAUGGGAUUAUCUUGUUGGUGGGGUAAAGGCUCACCAAGGCGAAGAUCACUAGCUGGUCUGAGAUGAUGACCAGCCACACUGGGACUGAGACACGGUCCAGACUCCUACGGUAGGCAGCAGUGGGGAAUAUUGCACAAUGGUCGAAAGCCUGAUGCAGCCAUGCCGCGUGUAUGAAGAAGGCCUUCGGGUUGUAAAGUACUUUCAGCGGGGAGGCGUUACCCGAAGAAGAAGCACCGGCUAACUCCGUGCCAGCAGCCGCGGUAAUUC